AGGAUGUAAGUAGAUGGGUUGUAAGCAUAUGUUCAUGUAAUUUUAUAUGAAUUGUCUGUAUAAUGGGUCCAUCCUCCGGUAUCAUUCUACAAUAAUUACCUAGAUGGAAGGAUCGAUUGAUAACAUGAAAAGGACAACCAUCACACAGCAGCGAUGAUAAUUGAACGGGACUAGCGAGAUGCUCCGAUGAUGAUGAAGGCCCA
rnacentral:lncRNA from 1 species